UGGCCAUAUAAUAUUGAAACACCAGUUUUUGAACAAUCACUGAAGUUAAGCAACAUUGAGCCUGGUCAGUACUAAGAUGGGUGACUCCUUAGGAAUACCAAGUGCU